AUGUUUCAACUAAGUGACUAACGUUCAUACUUCCCCAGGUACUUUGCAGUUGGCUAGCUUGACAACCGUUGACAACAAAUGCUGCCCAAAGCUGUCACGAGACUAUCUAUGGUAGCCCAUAAGUGAUAAAAAUAGAUAAAAUAAAAGUGUGGCAAGACUCAGCAAAAAGGUACGUUUGAGAACUAUGUGUGAGCUGCACUAACACUAAAAUUUGAUGUCAAGUAGGCGGCCACAAAAUAUCAUCCCAUGGGCCUCAAUUGGCCCUCAGGCCGCAAGUUUGAGACCCCUGUUUUAUAUUAUAAACGCAAA